UACAGAGGUCUCAAGCGUUGUUCGGAUUCAUUGGGCGUAAAGGGUGCGUAGGCGGCGCGGUAAGUCGGGUGUGAAAUCUCGGAGCUUAACUCCGAAACUGCAUUCGAUACUGCCGUGCUUGAGGACUGGAGAGGAGACUGGAAUUUACGGUGUAGCGGUGAAAUGCGUAGAUAUCGUAAGGAAGACCAGUGGCGAAGGCGGGUCUCUGGGCAUUUCCUGACGCUGAGGCGCGAAAGCCAGGGGAGCGAACGGG
rnacentral:rRNA from 1 species